CCUACGGGAGGCAGCAGUGAGGAAUAUUGGUCAAUGGACGAGAGUCUGAACCAGCCAAGUAGCGUGAAGGAUGACUGCCCUAUGGGUUGUAAACUUCUUUUAUAAAGGAAUAAAACGAGGCACGUGUGCCUUUUUGCAUGUACUUUAUGAAUAAGGAUCGGCUAACUCCGUGCCAGCAGCCGCGGUAAUACGGAGGAUCCGAGCGUUAUCCGGAUUUAUUGGGUUUAAAGGGAGCGUAGAUGGGUUGUUAAGUCAGUUGUGAAAGUUUGCGGCUCAACCGUAAAAUUGCAAUUGAUACUGGCAGUCGUGAGUACAGUUGAGGUAGGCGGAAUUCGUGGUGUAGCGGUGAAAUGCUUAGAUAUCACGAAGAACUCCGAUUGCGAAGGCAGCUUACUAAACUGCCACUGACAUUGAUGCUCGAAAGUGUGGGUAUCAAACAGGAUUAGAUACCCGUGUAGUC
rnacentral:rRNA from 1 species